CGGGGCGUAGCGCAGCUUGGUAGCGCGCACGGUUCGGGACCGUGAGGCCCCGGGUUCAAAUCCCGGCGCCCCGACCA
rnacentral:tRNA from 1 species